rnacentral:rRNA from 1 species
UACGUAGGGUGCAAGCGUUAAUCGGAAUUACUGGGCGUAAAGCGUGCGCAGGCGGUUUUGUAAGUCUGUCGUGAAAGCCCCGGGCUCAACCUGGGAAUUGCGAUGGAGACUGCAAGGCUUGAAUCUGGCAGAGGGGGUAGGAAUUCCACGUGUAGCAGUGAAAUGCGUAGAGAUGUGGAGGAACACCGAUGGCGAAGGCACCCU